rnacentral:tRNA from 2 species
GGCAAGAUGGCCGAGUGGUUAAGGCGCAGCGUUCAGGUCAUCUGAGGUCAAGAGCUCAUUCGAGUUCACCGCUGUCUUCGGGCGUGGGUUCGAAUCCCACUCUUGUCA